AUUGAACGCUGGCGGCAUGCCUUACACAUGCAAGUCGAACGGUAACAGGUCUUCGGAUGCUGACGAGUGGCGAACGGGUGAGUAAUACAUCGGAACGUGCCUAGUAGUGGGGGAUAACUACUCGAAAGAGUGGCUAAUACCGCAUGAGAUCUACGGAUGAAAGCAGGGGAUCGCAAGACCUUGUGCUACUAGAGCGGCCGAUGGCAGAUUAGGUAGUUGGUGGGAUAAAAGCUUACCAAGCCGACGAUCUGUAGCUGGUCUGAGAGGACGAUCCGCCACACUGGGACUGGGAAAAGGCCCAGACUCCUACGGGAGGCAGCAGUGGGGAAUUUUGGACAAUGGGCGCAAGCCUGAUCCAGCAAUGCCGCGUGCAGGAUGAAGGCCUUCGGGUUGUAAACUGCUUUUGUACGGAACGAAAAGCCCCGGGUUAAUACCCUGGGGUCAUGACGGUACCGUAAGAAUAAGCACCGGCUAACUACGUGCCAGCCGCCGCGGUAA
rnacentral:rRNA from 1 species